AAGUCGAGCGGUCCUUCGGGACAGCGGCGAACGGGUUAGUAACGCGUGGGAACGUGCCCUUUAGUACGGAAUAGCCAUUGGAAACGAUGAUUAAUACCGUAUACGCCCCAAGGGGGAAAGAUUUAUCGCUAAAGGAUCGGCCCGCGUUAGAUUAGGUAGUUGGUAGGGUAAUGGCCUACCAAGCCGACGAUCUAUAGCUGGUUUGAGAGGAUGAUCAGCAACACUGGGACUGAGACACGGCCCAGACUUCUACGGAAGGCAGCAGUAGGGAAUCUUGGACAAUGGGCGAAAGCCUGAUCCAGCCAUGCCGCGUGAGUGAUGAAGGCCCUAGGGUUGUAAAGCUCUUUCGCCAGGGAAGAUAAUGACGGUACCUGGUAAAGAAACCCCGGCUAACUCCGUGCCAGCAGCCGCGGUAAUACGGAGGGGGUUAGCGUUGUUCGGAAUUACUGGGCGUAAAGCGCACGUAGGCGGAUUAAUAAGUCAGGGGUGAAAUCCCGAGGCUCAACCUCGGAACUGCCUUUGAUACUGUUAAUCUUGAGUUCGAGAGAGGUAAGUGGAAUUCCGAGUGUAGAGGUGAAAUUCGUAGAUAUUCGGAGGAACACCAGUGGCGAAGGCGGCUCACUGGCUCGAUACUGACGCUGAGUGCGAAAGCGUGGGGAGCAAACAGGAUUAGAUACCCUGGUAGUCCACGCCGUAAACGAUGAGAGCUAGUCGUUGGGGAGUUCGCU
rnacentral:rRNA from 1 species